CCCCCUGUCUGGAGUUCAUCAGGGCCCCCCCUGUCUGGGGGUCGACGGAAUAACGAGGAGGUUGAACCUUUCUGUCUAUCUAGCAUCAGAUCCCUUAACCUAGUUAACAUCUGAUUCCAGGACUGUGGUUAACGGGGGUCUAACCUCCACUAUGUAGACAGGAGUUAACAUCUGAUUCCAGGACUGUGGUUAACGGGGGGUCCUAACCUCCACUAUGUAGACAGGAGUUAACAUCUGAUUCCAGGACUGUGGUUAACGGGGGUCCUAACCUCCACUAUGUAGACAGGAGUUAACAUCUGAUUCCAGGACUGUGGUUAACGGGGGUCCUAACCUCCACUAUGUAGAGACAGGAGUUAACAUCUGAUUCCAGGACUGUGGUUAACGGGGGGUCCUAACCUCCACUAUGUAGAGACAGGAGUUAACAUCUGAUUCCAGGACUGUGGUUAACGGGGGGGGUCCCUAACCUCCACUAUGUAGAGACAGGAGUUAACAUCUGAUUCCAGGACUGUGGUUAACGGGGGUCUAACCUCCACUAUGUAGAGACAGGAGUUAACAUCUGAUUCCAGGACUGUGGUUAACGGGGGUCUAACCUCCACUAUGUAGACAGGAGUUAACAUCUGAUUCCAGGACUGUGGUUAACAGGGGGUCCUAACCUCCACUAUGUAGAGACAGGAGUUAACAUCUGAUUCCAGGACUGUGGUUAACAGGGGGUCCUAACCUCCACUAUGUAGAGACAGGAGUUAACAUCUGAUUCCAGGACUGUGGUUAACGGGGGUCCCUAACCUCCACUAUGUAGAGACAGGAGUUAACAUCUGAUUCCAGGACUGUGGUUAACGGGGGUCCUAACCUCCACUAUGUAGAGACAGGAGUUAACAUCUGAUUCCAGGACUGUGGUUAACGGGGGAUAAAUGUUGGUCUUUAAUGUCACUGUCGUAAUCAUCUUUUCUAUUGUUAUUACUACACUCUAAUCACUGUUCAUAUCAGCUGUCUGUCACUACACAGCCUGUCUGUCGUUGACCUGUCCUAGACUGUCUGUCUGGAACGGACCUGUCCUAGACUACACAACCUGUCUGUCUGUCUGGAACUGACCUGUCCUAGACUACACAACCUGUCUGUCUGUCUGUCUGGAACUGACCUGUCCUAGACUACACAACCUGUCUGUCUGUCACUGACCUGUCCUAGACUACACAACCUGUCUGUCUGUCUGUCUGGAACUGACCUGUCCUAGACUACACAACCUGUCUGUCUGUCACUGACCUGUCCUAGACUACACAACCUGUCUGUCUGUCUGUCUGGAACUGACCUGUCCUAGACUACACAACCUGUCUGUCUGUCUGGAACUGACCUGUCCUAGACUACACAACCUGUCUGUCUGUCUGGAACUGACCUGUCCUAGACUACACAACCUGUCUGUCUGUCUGUCUGUAACUGACCUGUCCUAGACAGGCCACCGUUGGGACACUUUACUAACCAACAGGGACGGCAGGACACCUGACAGACAAACUGUUGUUGUUUACGACUUGUCUUAUUGACUGUUAAAUGGAAAUUCAUUUUAACGCCUUUCUGUGUUUCUGGACCGUUUUAUAAGCUAAACCAUGUAGACUGGACCAGCAGACUGUUACCCUGUAGACUGGACCACCAGACUGUUACCCUGUAGACUGGACCACCAGACUGUUACCCUGUAGACUGGACCAGCAGACUGUUACCCUGUAGACUGGACCACCAGACUGUUACCCUGUAGACUGGACCACCAGACUGUUACCCUGUAGACUGGACCACCAGACUGUUACCCUGUAGACUGGACCAGCAGACUGUUACCCUGUAGACUGGACCAGCAGACUGUUACCCUGUAGACUGGACCAGCAGACUGUUACCCUGUAGACUGGACCAGCAGACUGUUACCCUGUAGACUGGACCAGCAGACUGUUACCCUGUAGACUGGACCAGCAGACUGUUACCCUGUAGACUGGACCACCAGACUGUUACCCUGUAGACUGGACCACCAGACUGUUACCCUGUAGACUGGACCAGCAGACUGUUACCCUGUAGACUGGACCAGCAGACUGUUACCCUGUAGACUGGACCAGCAGACUGUUACCCUGUAGACUGGACCACCAGACUGUUACCCUGUAGACUGGACCAGCAGACUGUUACCCUGUAGACUGGACCACCUACCCUGUAGACUGGACCACCAGACUGUUACCCUGUAGACUGGACCAGCAGACUGUUACCCUGUAGACUGGACCAGCAGACUGUUACCCUGUAGACUGGACCAGCAGACUGUUACCAUGUAGACUGGACCACCAGACUGUUACCAUGUAGACUGGACCACCAGACUGUUACCAUGUAGACUGGACCACCAGACUGUUACCCUGUAGACUGGUAUUACAGCUGAGACAGACAGGACCCUUUCUGAGGUUACUGGGCUUCACAGACAACAUUAUGACACUCCUUCCUGUCUGAAAGCGUCCCAUGUUCAGAUUUCUGUAUUAUUCCAAUGUUCUCACUCUCAUCUUUAUUUACACCUUAAUAUAUCUUGGGAGCUGCUUGUGUGCGGAUGGUAAUGCUAACCUGUUUCACAAUAUAAUUUAUAUCAUUUGUAUUAUUGUAACAUUAUAUUAUAUAUUGUGGUCUGUUUAUUCUGUCAUUCCUUCCUGGGUUUUAUAGGAUCAGUGUGGGGAGGGAGGGGCAUAUUUACACCAGUCUAAAACCCGCGGGGCGCCAGCUACACCUGGACCUGCUACGGACCAAUAAAAUGGAUCUCUUUAAGCGCUGA
rnacentral:lncRNA from 1 species